CGUAAAAUACACGAACUUUCAAUAAAUUCUGGUUUUUCCCUCAACCUUUAAAAUUUGAAAAAUAAUACACCACCUUUCAAUUUUUUCUGAUUUUUCCCACGCAUCUAAAAUACCCAAAAUCGAAGCUGAGGUGGCCGCCUGAAUUUCCAACGUGGCACAAUCGUCGGCUAUCUAAAACGACGUCGUUCUCAAUUGUAUGAGACGACGCCGUUUUGUGAGAGUUUUAAAACAAAAAUUAGGGAUCUUGAAAUCUGCAUUCUCUUCCUCUAUCCGGCAGCAAAUCUGCUCAAAGAAAAAUUGGGGUUCUUCAAAACAUUGACAAAUAUGCUCAUCCAACAGCAAACCAAGCAAUGAAAAUCAGCAAUUCGAACAAUGAAUCUUCUCAUCCUCACAACAUUUGCACAUCUUCAGCAAUUUAGGUGAAGAAAUCGAGAAGCCAUGUCUAUGGGAAACAACUAGUCAUCACGCUCACCCUCAAAUUCUCAAAUGGCGCCCGAAAUUCCGCUACGAAUUUACAAGCAUGAGAUACCUGUGGUCAUCCAGACUUCACAUACCAUGGGAAGAUUGUGGCUUUUGGGAGUGGAUUGACCCAGAAUUGACAACGCACUACAAAGCUUGUUUUCUGACAAUGAAAUCAGAGAGAGAUAAAGCCUUGGAGCAACUGCACAAUCGAAGCUUGAUGGAUGAUGUGAAUUACGAUAGAGUUGGAGAUUCAGAUUCACUAGAGGAAUUCGACGAACUCGUACAUAUGCUGUAGAAAAAACAUUGACUAAAUAAAUGGAGAUGAGCCUCAAAAGGAUGAAGUUGAGGAUCAAAAUGAUGAAUUUUGCAUUUGGUUUUAUUGUAGUGAUGUUACUUGUUGUGAAGUAUGUUUGAGUAUUUUUGUUUGAGCAGCUCGAUACUUUUGUGAUUGAAGACUUUUGCUUGAGCUUGAUUAUAUGAUGUAAAAUAAGAUAGUAGAGUUGUUUGA